AGACAGCUUGGUUCAUUCUAAUUACCGGCAAAACGAUAACGCAAACAUUUAAAUCAAGGUGUAAAGUUUAUUAAGAAAAUUAUAACAAAAUCGCUGCUUAAAAAACGAAAAAUAAGGUCUACGGUCGUACUGAUUUUAAACACUUAAUGAAAAAGAUUGAAAUUUAUUUUAAAUGUAUCCAGUGGACUGAAUGUGGAUAUAUUAUGUGAAUGCAGUGUUUGUGUUUUAUUCAUAAAAUCAACAGCAACCCGUGACCAUAUUUGAUUUCGAACCAAAAUGUGAAUUCAAACAAAUAGAGAGAGAAAAAAAAUGUGUUUGCUUAGAGUCUCUUCCAAUUUAAGUAAAUAAGUGAGAACGUAUUUACCCAAAAUGAAAUUUCUGUUUGAAUUAAAGUUUGCUGAUCCUUCGAAGCUUUAUCACAAUUAUAAAAGUUUUUACACUUUACGUACUUGAAUUUGGGAUAUUACCGUUCCACUUAAAUAUGGGAGUGCAUAAAUAUUCAUCAUUCUUUUCGACUACUUUUGGGUAAAAUCGGACCAAACACAAAUACCAAACUAAUUCAACAUCUAAAAUACUGGAAACUACGCCUUAUUAAAUGACCUAAUUAGCAUUGGCACAUAUCAUUUUCGCAAUAUUACCCUGAGAUACGGAUAAGAAAAGAUGAAUAAGUUUCGAAAAGUAAAUUCGACUUUGUCAAUAGCGCAAAAAUGUCUGCAUUCCCUUCCUGAAUAUUUAAUACAUAGUGUUAAUAAAAUGAAUGAAAAAAUCAACAAUAGCCGAACAUCGAAAUUCUAAACAACUAAUAAAUAAAAAGCAUAAAACUUAUUGUGAAGUAAUGAAACGCGUCUCAAGCAUAAAUUGUGCAUUGGGUAGUGAUUUAUUUUUACGUUUAUUCAUCGAUAAUUAGUGGCGAUAUUCGUUGAAAAACGUUGACGUCGCUUCAAAGCAAAAAAUAUAUAUCCUCACAUCGAAAUCCUCACGCGAGUGAUACGUUUUUGAGCCGAACCACGAAACGCAAAAUAGUAGCAAAAAUGCCCGUGCGUCGAGGACACGUAGCACCACGUACAACCUUAAUUGAAACCAUAAUUAGGAAAUUC